GACGAACGCUGGCGGCGUGCCUAAUACAUGCAAGUAGAACGCUGAAGAGAGGAGCUUGCUCUUCUUGGAUGAGUUGCGAACGGGUGAGUAACGCGUAGGUAACCUGCCUUGUAGCGGGGGAUAACUAUUGGAAACGAUAGCUAAUACCGCAUAACAAUGGAUGACACAUGUCAUUUAUUUGAAAGGGGCAAUUGUUCCACUACAAGAUGGACCUGCGUUGUAUUAGCUAGUAGGUGAGGUAAUGGCUCACCUAGGCGACGAUACAUAGCCGACCUGAGAGGAUGGUCGGCCACGCUGGGACGGAGACACGGCCCAGACUCCUACGGGAGGCAGCAGGAGGGAAUCUUCGGGAAUGGGGGCAACCCUGACCGAGCAGCGCCGCGUGAGUGAAGAAGGUUGUCGGGUCGUAAAGCUCUGUUGUAAGUCAAGAACGGGUGUGAGAGUGGAAAGUUCACACUGUGACGGUAGCUGACCAGAAAGGGACGGCUAACUACGUG
rnacentral:rRNA from 1 species